UUAUAAGAGACAGCAGCAGCCGCGGUAAUACGGAGGGUGCAAGCGUUAAUCGGAAUUACUGGGCGUAAAGCGCACGCAGGCGGUCUGACAAGUCAGAUGUGAAAUCCCCGGGCUUAACCUGGGAACUGCAUUUGAAACUGUCAGGCUGGAGUCUUGUAGAGGGGGGUGGAAUUCCAGGUGUAGCGGUGAAAUGCGUAGAGAUCUGGAGGAAUACCGGUGGCGAAGGCGGCCCCCUGGACAAAGACUGACGCUCAGGUGCGAAAGCGUGGGGAGCAAACAGGAUUAGAUACCCCUGUAGUCCCUGUCUCUUAUAC
rnacentral:rRNA from 1 species